ACAAAGUGGAGAAAUAGUUCAGCUAGGCUAAUGCUCUAUCCCUGCUCAUGUCAUGUCAUUUGCACUUUUCUUUUCCUUUUUUCCCUUCUUUUUCUUCU
rnacentral:ribozyme from 1 species